CCUGCUUUUCAGGGUGCAGCCCACAGCUCUCUGGAGCCACCUGGUCAGGCCCCUGCUGAUCACAUUAGGCCCACCCAGAUAAUCCGGGUCAUCGCCCCCUCUAGGGCUCAGCAGGCACAACCUGGGCUCACCCUUCCCACUGACAUAACCCACCGGCAGGGUCAGGGGUGAGGGUGUGGACGUCACCUGCCAGGAGAGCCCUGGGCCAUGCUCAGCGUGCUGGCUGAGCUUGGUCAGGCCUGGCGUGCUCCCAGGCCCGGACUCCUCCCUUCUGCUCCCCUGGGGGGCCUGGGGCCGUUGGCUGUGGGGUUCUCUGGGCCCAGCCCUGGGAACUGUGGCCUCUGGUUUAUCUCCUCGCUCCAGGCAGCCACCAGGAGCACCCAGGGGCCCCAGGGUGGGGACCCAGACUUAGGAAGCCAUGAAAGCUGAGCAGAGGCCUCACACAGCCCACACCCGCAGAGGCAUGAGGCUCCCUCAGUUGCUCUGCUUGGCCACACUGGCCGCCAGCAGCUCUUCCAAGGGCCAGGCAGAAGAAAUCUCCAUUGCCUACAAAGUCCUGGAGGUUUACCCCCAAAGUCGCCGUGUUCUCCUGACAUGCCAUGCACCCCAGGCCCCUCCUCCGGUCACCUACUUCCUCUUCGCCAGCCAAGGGAUCCAGGUGGCCAAGAAGGUGGUGCAGACCCAGCAGCCAGCCUCCUUCACCCUCAACGUCACACUCAAGUCCAGCCCAGACCUGCUCACCUACUCCUGUGAGGUGGCCUCCCCCUCCGGCCCGCAUGAGAGCAGCGCCCCGCUGCAGCUGUACUGGGAGCUGUGGGCCAAGCCCGUGUCCCAGCUGCAGACUAACAUCACCCUGCACAGCGGAGGGCCAGGCCCCAGGGCAGAGAUGUCCUGCUGGGCGCCCUCAGGCAGCCCGCUCAUCACCUACCGCCUGGUCAGCAAGGACGGGCAGGUCCACAUGCAACAGAGGCCACUCCACGGGCAGCCUGCCAACUUCUCCUUCCCACUGCCCCCCGCACUGGGCUGGUUCCAGUGCCAGGCUGAAAACAGCGUAGGGGUCCAGAGCAGCGCCCUCACACUGGUGCCCCCAGGGGAGCUCCCCCAAGGACCUGCACUCGUGCUGACCGGCAGUCUCAUCUCCAUUGCAGCUGUGGCCUCCGGGAUGCUGGGCUGGACCAGGUGGGUAGUGGGUGCCCAAUGGCGGGGAGCAGGAGACUGGCUUGGGGGGCAGGGCUGCCACCUGGGCUGAGAGGGCACAACAGCCACAACUCAGACUUUUGCUAAGCUGGGCGCAGCGGAGCACGCCUGUGAGCCCAGCGAGUUGGAGGCCAGUCUGAAUUGCAUAGGGAGACCCUGUCUCAAAAGAAAAAAGAAAAGAAGAAGAAAGAAAAAAAAGAAAACCUUAUCAAGAGCCCCUCAUGCUGAGGGCCACCCAAGCAUGCACAUUCCUUGCACACCUGAACCUGAACCUGAACCUUGCCCGAGUCUGCCUGCCGUGGUGCCAGCCUACCUGAGGAUGGAGCUUUUCUUCCUUCAGCUAAGGCCUGACGUCACCACCUGGGGACCGAGGCUGUGAGCAGAAGCUGCGGGCUCGUGAAUCCACCCGGAGCCCCAGCCUUGCCUUGGGCCCCACAGAAGGACCCUCCGCGGGGAUGAAGAGUAGCCCCCGGCAGGAGACAAGGGAGCCACGGUUUGAGGACACAGCAGCGGGCGGGCCGGAUGCAGGAGUCUCUGAAGAUGCGGGUGAUAGACUUGUCUUGUGUGUAGGAUUCACGCUAAAUGAGUAGUUUGCAGCUGCUGUUGCCACAAGAACAAAAAAUUGGGUAACUGAGAUGAGGGAUAUGUUUGUUUGCUUCCCUGUAGGAACCAUUUUAUGUGUGUAUCUAAUAGCAGCAAGUUGCAUACCUUCAACAU